rnacentral:rRNA from 1 species
GACGAACGCUGGCGGCGUGCCUAAUACAUGCAAGUCGAACGCAGUGGGGACGGGUGAAUAACACGUGGGUAACCUCCCAUCAGAGGGGAUAACACUUGGAAACAGGUGCUAAACCGAUACUGAUGGAUGAACCCGCGGUGCAUUAGCUAGUUGGUGAGGUAACGGCCCACCAAGGCAACGAUGCAUAGCCGACUUGAGAGGGGGGUCGGCAACACUGGGACGGAGACACGGCCCAGACUCCUACGGGAGGAAGCAGUAGGGAAUCUUGGGCAAUGGACGAAAGUCUGACCGAGCAACGCCGCGUGAGGGAAAAAGGUUUCCGGAUCGUAAAACCCUGUUUUUAGAUAAGCGGUAUCUAACCAGAAAGCCACGGCUAACUACGUGCCAGCAGCCGCGGUAAUUC